ACUGGAGCUCUACUAGCUUUGUCCUUGAUGUGCUCACAAGAUUGGCUACGAAGCCUACCAUCUUCUCCUGUCAUGGUAGAUGAUGAUGAAGUAUUAAUUGAGGAUGCGAUAUUUUACAAAGAAAUCGAGUCAGAGUUCUAUAACGGAGGGCUAUCAGAUAACGAAGGCCUAUCAGACAAUCUCAUGUCCGAUAACGAAGACCUGUCAGAUUAUGAAGAUCUCUUCGAGGAUUGAAGUUUUGAACUUCAAAUCGAAUUGUGGAUCAUGAGAGCUUGGAAGUGGUGGAGGAUUCCCGAUGUGCAUGGCAGUGGAGAAAUUGGUUGGCAUUGGAUAACUUGAACUGAUUGGCUGGACCAUUUAGUCUGAUGGACAACAAUUACCCAUAAUCUAUGUACUUUCUGUUGUAUUUUGUUUCUGAGUGUGACGCAAUGUUGUCAAAUUGUAUUCAAAACCAGAUCAUUACUGAGACAUGCACUCAUGAAUUUUGUCAAAUUCAUCUUGUUUUUUUCUCCUUUUCUCCUA